ACCACAAUUCUCUUUUAUUUUUCUGUAUAUAAUCCACUUUUCCUCAAAAAUCAUUUAAAAAAUAUUUUCUCGAUCUGCAAGAUACUCCACAAAUGACGAUGUUUAUUAUACCGAAUUUAUUUAUAUAUUUCUCAAGAUCCACUAAUUGAAGUCAAUCAAUCCAGAGAUCAUUUUUGAGGUUGAGUCAUAGAUGGAUAUAAUAAUGCAAAGUUAGAGAGUUAGGGAGAUUCACACCAAAAAAUCAUUGCAAUGUCGAAUUCAGGCGAUUGAGAAGGUUGUAAGAAAAUUAAAUGGAUAUGCACACCAAAUAUAAAUUGGCGUCCUAGUGGUGCUUCAGAUCAAGAUAUUAUGAGUAUUUAGUUUGUAGUUACUUACAAUUUAUUUGUAUAUAUUUACUUAAUGUUUUCCUUAAUUUUUUGUAAUAUUAAAUAUUACACAAGCAAAAGAUUUACUUAUGCAAGAUUCGAACUUAAUUUUUUUUUUAAAAAAAAAUUGAUAAUGUGCGGGCUAUAAUGAAGAAUUUUGAGAAGUUUAACGACGGCGAUGCUGGAAAAAGAAGAAGCAAGAAAGCCAGUCUAUACUAAUGUAUUAUCAGAGUCUGAGACUCC
rnacentral:lncRNA from 1 species